UACGUAGGGUGCGAGCGUUAAUCGGAUUUACUGGGCGUAAAGCGUGCGCAGGCGGCCCGUUAAGACAGGUGUGAAAUCCCUGGGCUCAACCUAGGAAUUGCGCUUGUGACUGGCGGGCUCGAGUACGGUAGAGGGGGGUGGAAUUCCUGGUGUAGCAGUGAAAUGCGUAGAGAUCAGGAGGAACACCGAUGGCGAAGGCAGCCCCCUGGGCCUGUACUGACGCUCAUGUACGAAAGCGUGGGGAGCAAACAGG
rnacentral:rRNA from 1 species